ACCCCACCACCCAGGGCCCAGGGUGGUGGAAACUUAUCAAAUACCCCCGACAAGUGAGGCUUGCUGUCCGGUGCCCCCCGCGUAGUGGAAGAUUAAGAGAUGCAGGGUUGUUCGUGUAAAUUGCAAAAAUUGUAGGAAUUGGAAGAAACUAGUCUAAACGAAGGAGAACUUUCAAAAUUAGAGGGAAACCAAUUCAGGCUUCGAUCGAGUUCGAAUUUCGAAGCUAGCAAUAACAGAGUUAUGGCGUCGGAAAAAAAGGAAGAACACGUCAGAGAAGAGCGUGAUGCUCCAGCACACCACCCAUCCGCACCUGCCGAUGAGAAAAUUGGGGACAAAGCUUGGCUAUUUUUUUUACUGUAACUAAAGAUCGAAUUAGCUCUCUAUAGGUGCGAUGUUAAAAAUUUGAUGAUGCCUAUUGAAGCAAUUUAAACUCGUGUGCUUGCACAUUUUAGAAGUGAGUGGUGGUGAUAUUGAAUGAAGGGUUAUGUUAACUUGUAUCCACGGGAGCAUAUCAGGGAAAGAUUCUUUUUUUAUUUGACAUUUCAACAACGGUUGAUCCGAGUUACAUAAUAUCACUGAUACGUAAACUUCUUCCUAGUAAUGUGGGAAAUGGCCACGUUGAUGGUCGCGAUGUCCCAAGUAAAAAAUUGAAUGCUGAUCCUGUAGAAGAGAGUACGGAUUCUCUCUCUGGAGAUAGAGUUCUAAGUUCCCCGAAGCAUAAUUUCAAGGCCAUGGAUGUUGUUGAUUGUGCAGAUAGAUCCUAUUGCGAAGGGGAAGCUGAAGAUCCAUGCAGUAAACUUGAACAGGCUGAUGUAUCAGCUGGAGAAGAAGCUUGGGAAGAAUAUGGUUGUGUCUUGUGGGAUCUUGCUGCUAGUGUAACUCAUGCAGAACUCAUGGUGCAAAACCUUCUCCUUGAGGUGCUUUUAGCAAACCUUAUGGUUUCCCAAUCUGUGCGUGUCAUGGAGAUUAUCCUUGGAAUCAUUGGAAACCUUUCAUGCCAUGAAGUUCUCAUGAAGUAUAUUGUCUCUACAAAUGGGCUGAUUCAAAUAAUAGUUAAUCAGUUGUUUUUAGAUGAUAGCCAAUGCCUAAACGAAGCUUUCCGGCUUUUAACUUCAUGUCUUUGUAGUUGUGAAUGUAUUGUUUGGGCUGAGGCACUGCAGUCUGAACGUAUUUUACAACGUAUUUUAUGGAUUGCAGAAAAUACAUUAAAUCUACAUCUCUUGGAAAAGAGUGUUGGGCUGUUAUUAGCCAUCUUAGAAUGUCAACAGGAAGUAGCUCUUGUUCUUCACCCACCUUUGAUGAAGCUGGAUUUAUCAAGUCUUUUGAUUAAUCUCUUGACCCUUGAAAUGAACAAAUUAGCAAGUGAAAGAAUACCUGAAAGGUACCCUGUUCUUGAUGUUAUUCUUCGUGCUAUUGAAGCUUUUUCUGGUUUAGAUGGUCACUCCCAAGAAAUUUGCUCAAAUAAGCAACUACUUCAACAACUUUGUAAUCUGGUCAAAAUCCCUGAAAAACUUGAGGUUGCCGAUUCUUGUGUUACCGCUGGAGUUAUAAUUGCCAAUAUCUUGUCUGAUGUACCUGAUCUGGCUACAGAGAUAUCAUCGGAUUUGCCUCUCUUACAGGGUCUGCUUGAUGUCUUUCCUUUUGCUUCGGAUGAUUUGGAAGCACAGAAUGCAUUCUGGAGUGUUAUUGCGAUGUUAUUGGUAAAAGUUCAGGAAGAUAAGAUGAGCACAUCAAUUCUGCAUAAAUAUGUAUCAGUUAUCAUGAGCUUUUCAGACGUAGUUGAAGAUGAUCUUCUUGAUCACCAGUUAGGUGAUUCUAGUCUAGAAUACAAAGCCAUGACCCCUUGUGGCACAAAUUCAGAAUCUAGAAUUACUGCUCUGAGAAGUAUAAUCAAUAUCUUAAACAAGUGGACUGCUUCAAAGGAGGAAGCUGACAAGAAUGAUGUGGUGGAUCAUCAUAUGGAUGAUGAAAAUUUUGGUAGAUUGUUGGAUCGUUGUCAGAAAUAUCUUGAACACUUAGGAGCUGGAAUUGACAAUACAGCUUUAUACAUUGGAGGCGGUAUAUAUUUGGUUCAUUAAGAUCUGUUUCCACAGUCUAUGGCAGAGUAGAUCAAAGGUUGAUGACAGGACAUAAACAAUGCAAAAUGUGAUUGUAAGCUCUGAAGGGCAUCCCACUUCAGCAGUUGCAUUGUUUGCUUCUUUGCUUAUGGCGUUUAUCAAUUCAAUGCUAAAUCACAUUCCAGGAAUUGAUUCUCUAUCCACUUGUUCCUGCACCAGAAUAUCCUACACAAAAGGAUACAGCUUUCUGUUUUGAUCUCUAUUUUAGGCGUCACAUACCAAAAUGAUGGGCAAGAAAGUUCAAAGAGAACAAUACUGAGAGAAAUGUUUCCUGGAUCAUUGGAGAAGAGGAAUAUUUGCUGAGAAGCGAAUAUUGUGGAAAUAUGUGUCAUUUGUACCAAUGUGUCCUACCCCUACUUCCAAAUUUGCCAGUACGCAGGCUUGAAUCAAAGGCAUUUUUAUUAUCUUUGAAGAAUUGGAGGCAUCUUAUGAUGAAUAUAUUGUGCAUUAUAUUUUUUUCGUAUUGCUGAGGAAGGUAAAGACAUGUGGUAAAGGAUAGAUUCUGCUUAUCAAUUCCUCUGUGGGUAAUUUGAUUACCUGAAGUCGGGCAGGGGUAUUCUGUCCCUGUCUCGGCCAUUUGUUGCAGCAAUCAAGUGGCGGAUGAAGGCAAAAAACUGUGGCUGAGAAACUGUUGUAUGAUAUUUUCUUUCAAUUUUGGAUUUCUACUCACUACUCUUGUUCACUCGGGAAGCAACAUUCAAAGUUAUUUUCUCUACUUGAUUUAUCUGUUUCUGCAUUUAUAAAACAAAAUAGAUGCGCUUGUAUUGGAUGCA